CUGAGUUUGUCCCCUGCCUUAAGAAUUGCGUUUGGCAGCAGUUAAAAUGUGUUCAUAAUCCCAGGAGUGAAGCAGCCACGUCUUCUGGGUUGCUUUUCCCAUAGGAGUUCUUGCCUCAGCAUUGCUUUGACUUUGUCAGUGCUCUACAGCUUGCACACCGAAGAGGAAUAAUGGCUAUUAUCCAGAAUCAUUUUGCAUGCGUCUACAUAGUACAUCGCUUAACGAGAAAACCAUAUGUUCUCAUCUGGGAACUCCAAGAAUAACCAAAGUUGGCACUCCAGCUGCAGAAACCAGCGAAUCAUUCCCUUCUGAAAACAUACCCGUGAGCGUAAAGGACACAAACAACCUUUUUCUUUAACUGAAUGGUAUACAUCUGAAUGAUGGAUAACUGCAGUUCAAGUAGAAACGUUUUUGGCAGCUGUUACAUGGAGAAUUGCCUCACUCAGAACCAGACUCCUGUUUCUAUUCAACGUAACUGAAUGUUAGUUCCUCAAAGUGAAAAGAAAUCUGAAAAGAAGAAGAAACCUCCCCUCCUACUACUCUAUUUGUGACAGUGUGCAUGAGGGUAUCUAAAAGCAAAGCUCUGAGGAAGUCAGACAGCUGUGUUCCUGUGGGUUUGGUAGCUCAGUGCAAGGGAUGUGGUAGGUGUGCCACUGCAGUACCUGCAGUACACCUCUUUGCCAACUGAUUCCUGCCUGACCUCUUGUCAGCCCUCAAGUCUGCUAGAAAUAGGCAGCAGUAGAGCUCUGCUCAUUUGGUCUUGGAUGACCACAGCACACAAUCCCAUCUUACUCCAUUGCCAGAAAAGAUCAGACUUGGCUAUAGGUGGGACCAAGGCUAAUCUCUUGCAGUUUAACGCUUCUUAAAAGAAACUUAAGAGCAUGUGAAGCCGUCCUCUCUUCCUUUUCUUCUGACUUUCCUUUAUUGUACUCUUGCACACAUUUUCCUUUUACAGUGUAAGACAUUUUUUCUCAGGGCAAGUUAGACUGUGAUGAGCAAGCUCACAUAAUUCUGCAAUAUGAUAUGAGCUUCUCCUUAUGAAGAAGGUGAGUACUUAUGGAAGGAAAAAUCUUAGCAGAUGCAUUAUGUUCCCCUUUCAUCUUCAGUUUCAAUUAUUUCUGCAUUUUAUUGCAUUAUUGUGUAUUUGAGUGUAGGAGUCCCAAAUACUUUCUCUUGGACACAAAUGCUCCACAAGUGGGAGAGCGGUACAAUCACCUUCCUGACUGAUGCUACAGAACAAUCAAUGAGAGCAACAAUGAUCCCAUGUGAAGAAGUUGGGAUUAUGUGAAUACAGAAAGAGAAGGAAGCUUUGUGUAAUAACAUAUCAAACCAAGAAUAACAGAACAAGUUUAGUCCAAAGUAACUGAAAAAGAAGGAAAAGGCUGUUUACAGGACACACUUAGAUUCAUUUUACCUUCAUUUUAAGGAGUAGGUUGUGACCGGGAAUACAGACCUUUGUAGAGAAGAAAGAAUUCUAACUUCAGACAGGUACACAAUCUUUUGAGAUUAGGAAGCAAAAAACAGCAAUGCUCAUAAGCAAGUAAAGAGGUAGGGGACUGAGAAGAGUUAAAGCAGAUUGCUGCCAGCUGGGGGAAAAGUUACAGUGGGAUACACUGUGGGAUGCAUCUGGAAUGGGAAAUCUUUGCUCACCACCUGUUUGAGCUCUGCCCUUAUGCACUCAGGUCUUGUCCCUGCAAGAUGAAAUUCCCACUGACUUAUUUACUCACAAGCUAAACUUGGCUAUAUCUGCCUUGAAAAAACAACAAAAGCAAUACAAAGCUGUGUGUAUUGUACUGUUUAUUUCCUAAAAUAAAUUCAUGAAGUAUUUUGUGUUGCUUUCC
rnacentral:lncRNA from 7 species